rnacentral:snoRNA from 9 species
UGAUGACAGUCUCCGGAAUCACUGUUACGCUUUGAUGAAGACCCCUUUACGUGCUUGGCUGAGGAGUCAAU